CUUUAGUGGGACCGGUCCAGGAUGCUGCUGAGCCACACAGUCUGGGCGCGGUUGGCGCUCUGUCAGUACUUCCGGUCACGCGGGGCAAACGGAAGUGGCGUUUCUCACGUGGCCCAGCUUGGAAUCGUUUUAACUGGAGGGAAUUCAUUUCCUGCUUCCGUUCCUUUUGUGGGUGCGCGCGAGGGAGCAGGAGAGCGGCCCACGAGGUAAUGAGGAUAGAAUCAGCUGUUAGUAUUUGUUUCUGAUGGUAUUGCAAGUUUACUGUGUGGACUCUGCCAUGCUACUCCUCUGUAACCAGCAAGGUGUCACGUGAACUAUUAAAGAAAUAAGCCUAUGAGCAUUGACCUCGGAGAUUGUGUUGCUCUGUCCAGAAAACCCUAUAUUGUGAGAUGGGCUUUCAAAUGCUGCUUACCUGAAGCCUGCCAGCUCUCACCUGAACUGCUGAGUAGGAAAUAUCUUCGUUAUGUGAUUUACUGAGCUUGGAUACAUUCAGAAAUGCCAUUUUCCUGACUUUUUCCUGCUCUUUGAAGCCAGCAAGAGUUGUUUUGAAUUCUCAAGAACAAGGAUUUAAAUCAGCUCUGGUCUUAACUGCACAUUAGAGAACAUAUUUAACUUGCAACUACCAAGAAGUCCUACAGUUUUCACGGCAUAUUGUGAGAGGAAGCCCUGUGAACCCGGGGAAAAGAUGAGGGUGUUCUGUCUUUCUGCACCAAAGAAUCUGCGAGAGGCAUGUACAUUACAUACAGGUAUGACCUGACCUGAAAAAGCAUAAAUUUAAUUAGCUUCUUGUGGUCAAAUGUGGAAGUGAGUUUCAGUUUUCGUCUUGAUGACUUUUCACUAAGACUAAUAACUUGUCAUUCUAAUUACUAGAGGCAGCACUGUCUAGUGGCUGAGGGUACUGGACAGGGAGUCAGGAGACCUGGGUUCUGUCAUACAGGUCAUGACUAGUAGGCAAGUUACUUCGCACCUCCGUUUCCCCUCCUAUCCUUUGUCUCUUCUGUUUAGACUAGCGUAUGAGCUCUUCAGUGCCGGGACUGUCUCCUAUUAGGUGCUAAACAAACAAUGGGGCCCUCAUUUCACUUCAAGGCCUCUAAGUGCUACUGGAAUACAAAUAAUAAAAUAGCUAUCAUACCUCUAAACGUGUCUGAAUAAAAAGAUAGUUGUUUAAAAACAUUUAGUAUGUACAUACACACAGUUUUUACGAAGCACUUUUGACAUGUGUAGUUGAAAGAACAGCAGCAAAACAGCCCACAGAAUGCAGACAAAGUUUAAUCACUGGACUCUGAAUAAACUGUUCUACAAACUACUUUUUAGAUUAUAAGCCAUUUGACAGCAGCGGUUCUUUUUUUUUUUUUUUUUUAAACCAUUUUUAUUUAAACUUUUGUUUUCCUCUUAUUCCUAAUAUAAGUUUCUCACUACCAUUCACUUGGUACAUUUUAAUAUUUGUGGGGUCAUGAGCAUUGUCACCUACUUAAUAUUUCCAGCAGCAAGCAGCACGAGUAUGGUGCUUUGCUUUUCUUCUCUGGGUCAUCUUAUCUUUAGACGUCACAGCUUUGAGAAGCCACCAGUCUAGUGGUAUGUUCAGUCUGAGAAACUUAACGUGUAAUAUUGUUUAAUUUUGAGUUGGUUACAAACUUUUAUCCAUAGGAGUAGCAAUUUCAUAAAACAUCAAUUUUCAUAUACAUUUUGCAGUAGCAUCACUCUAAAACUUUAACUUUGUUUACAUUUUCCAAAAAAAUCAAAACUUUGAAGCAGGAACAAGCUCUGCUUUCAGAAUGGGUUCUUUAUUCUUCACUAGUAGUAACAUGUGUUCCAGGGCCAUAUGUGGCAAUAAACUGUAACAGUUGCUGAUGGCACUGCAUCAGAUAAACAUCUCUUUGCUGUAGAGAGUUUUCAUCAAUGAGGUCAAAUGGAAACACUGCAUUUGGAGCUACACAAAAUACAGAGGCACCUACACAAAGAAUAAUUGAAUUUAAAAUGUUAUGUUAAUAGAUUCCAUACACUCCUGGAAAAUCCUCUUGCCCAACUGUUCUGCUUCAUCUUAGUGACAUUUGAAAGGAUGACUUAUGGAAAGAACACUAACCACAUGUUAUAAAAUAAUAUUUCUACUUUGUUCUCUAAUUUUCUGUCUCUUCAAAAAAGGCUCCUGUGGGUUUGGUAUCAGAUAUGAGCUUUACACUUCUGGUUUGAAUUUAGUUCAACUCAAUAGCAAUCUGCCUUGAAAUUCCAAGAGGCAGGUAAGAUACUCCAUUAAGCUCUUGCACAUGUAGGUUCUGACACUCGGAUCCUUUAAUGAUCCUUCUACUGCCACAGGGAGCUCAUUGCAGGAUCAGGACUCAUGACAGGAAAUUCCCAGGUGAGAAGGAAUUUUUCCUAACAUUACAAUAUAUCGGAUCUUUUUUUGUAAAAGAAACCUUGGGACUAUCACCCUCUACUGUUAUAACUUGAAAAAACUCUUGCUAUGGAGAAGAAAAAUUGAUUUUAAGUCUAAAAUGGCUGGUGCUUAUUGCCUUUGAAAUGUAAUGCUAUGUCAUAAAUUUCAAUUCAUCAAUAUUAAGCUCCUGACCUCAUUAAUAUGAGGUAUCUAGAGUGUCUUUGGUAGAUCCACCCUUCUAAUUAGGGAAUGAGUAGGAGGAAAGCUGUAAAUGUUGUCUGAGAAGCCGGGUACAGCCAAAAUAAUUCUUGCUUUUCAGAGUGGUGUUUUGCUUUAGCAUUCUCUUCCUAUCAAGUCAACUUUGCUACUUUACUCUUAGCAUGGAAACAGUGCUUUAACUAAGAAAACACAGGUAUUUCUAUCCAAAUUUGAGAUGCCUUAAUUCAAACUUGAUUAGAUCUUUGAUCUAGUUUAAUUGUGUUUAAAUUUAAUGUUAAGUGAACAAAUAUAAAAAAACUACACAUUUAAACCUAAUACUAACUAACAAACAUCCAGUCAGUUAACACUUAGUUAUUUUUACCGUGUUUUAAAGUGACAGAUGAUUCAAAUAACAAGACAGCAAUCAACACAUCUUCCUCAAGUACUUUCCUCCUUAAACUCAGCUUAGUGUGUGCUUCAGACAAUGAAACCCUAAAAGACAAAAAUAUCAGUGUCUCAAACAGUAUAUUACACAAUAUAUUGGUGUACACUGCAAUGACUACAUAAAAAGCUAACUAUAGGGGCAAUCAAUAGUAUCGCUGUAGUUUAGUUUAUUUUCCAUACCAUAGCCAAGUUUUACAGGCUUAAAUACUGUGGGGGGUACUCAAAUGAUUUCAAGUGGGCAAAGUUACAUAUUGAUUGUUCCAUCACAGCCAAAUAUGUACACAACUAUUUUGUGCAUCACUUGUCCCACAAUAUUCUGGGAAUGCAUGUUGUAUGAAACUAGUAGGGGACUAUAACUAUUGCAUUGUUCAAGCACUAAGGUAUUGAAUUAAGGAUAUUGCAACAAUCAACUCAGUUUCUUUAUUUUUGUAGAUUUGUGUCAGUACUAGUUACUCUAACUGUGAGGUUUGGCUUUGAAAUAGCCAUUUUUCAUGCCUGGCAAAUGAGCAAAUAAAUUUAUUCAAAUAGACAUUUCUGGAGAUAUUCUGAGAAAUUCAGGAAACCUGAACAUCCUACAAUUAUAAAUUCUGUGUAAACUACUAUACAGGCCUAGACGGAAAACUUGAAGGCCUUUGUAUCCAAAGAUCUCCCAAGUAGGCAUGAAGAAGCUAAGCAAUAUAAUUAGGAAAAUUAAAACGUACAGGAUUUUCAGUGCAGACGUUGAUAGUUUUGAUCCAUGAACAGAAUCUGUUCUGAUUCUGCGACUUGCUAGGUAGUAGCCAUGAAUGAGUCUUUCUGCUUCUGAACUGAGUUCUACUUGCAAAUUCUUAGCAAAUACGAUAAGCUAAAAACAGCAUAAAUUUUAAAUAUUUAAGGAAUACUGCUGAAAACUUACAACCAAAGCUCAUUUUGAUAUUCAUAUCAGUUGCAUAGUAUUAAUAUAUCUAGACAGUAUUUUCCAUAUUAACACAAUAUUUAGAAAGGAUUAUGACCAUUUACACAGCAAUAUGGCUGUCUCAGGUAUAGAAACAAGUAAUUUGUUCACUAAUCUAUUAAAUUUAAACAAAUAUGCUAGAAGCUCCCUCAAUCAUUUUAAAUAAAUAUUCUCUAGUGUACUGAAAUAUUCAUUUGAAAUAAACAUGCACUAUACUAAUAGAAAGGUUCCAAUGUUGUUCACACUGCAUACUGGAGAUCUACUUUUUUUAAAAUUACAUUUAUCAACACUAUUGUUUCAAAAAACCAAGAGACCAAAUGGAGUUUAAUAGUUUGGCUCUUUAAAAGGAGAGUAUAUAAAUGGCUUCAAGUGUGUACAAAACAGAUUAAUUUUUAGUAUGAGAAGGGUUUAAACUCUGAACGUAAGUUUUGUUCAGAUUUGCAUACUAUCCUUAUUUUUAAUCUAUACAUGUAAUUUAGGACAUUAGUUGUGCAUGUUUUGUUUGUUAGCCUAUAAUUAUGAAACUGGGCCAAAUUCAAUCAUGGUAGCAAGAGAUGAGGUCACUGGAAAUGAACUUGCUUGCACCAGGUCUGAAUUUGGAUGACGUUUCAGGGUUAAACUUUUAAAACCCAAUUUCUAUCCCCCUGAAUGCAAAUAGUUAACCAAAAUUUGAUUUAAAAAUAGUUCCCCAUAUUGUUGGCCACUCUCUUGGGAUACCUGUUGCUGAUUUCAUUGCACUGGACAGUCAGAUUACCUCCUAGUUUAAAUUUUAAGUACUAGCUCUCAGCCAGACAGUGGUCAGUUCAACUGAUUUACUGAGCAUCUGCUAUUGCUGGAACUUGUACUGCUACCAUGAGAAUCUCUGACUGAACAACAAAGGAGCUGUGUAGCUCCUGAUGCUGGUGGUAGCCUGUGAUAUGUCAGUAGUGUUUAAAAAUUAGUGUAGAAACUCCAAAAAGCAACCUGGUACAUAGAAGAUACAAUGAAGUUGUUUGUCACAUAUACAGUAGCAUUUUUCAAAAAAGUGUAUUUUUCCUGCUAAUAGACAUUUUUCUUACUGUGAUUUAGGGUGAAAUCAGAUUAAUUGCAAUUAAAGUUUUACGGUUUGAAGUGCCUUGAAUGGUGCAGGAACAUGAAUAUUCUGUUAGUAUCAAAUGUGCAUCAGGUCACUAUAGAGUUGGACCAUGUUCAAUUCAGUAACUAUAGUGUCCAUCCUGCACAAUUAGGCUGCUGUGAAUAUUAAUAAGUCAGCCUUUUUGUCUUUUUAAAAAAAUAUUAAAUAGUCAUUACUGUUUUGCUUAUACUCUGAUAAUAUAUACCUGCAUUUUCCUUCCUGGAAGAGGUGCACACACAUCCCUGUGCCCUCAGAAAGCGGUUCUUCUGGAAAUAACAUGAUUUAAUACUACGUACAACAACAUAUUUAGUCCUGAGGUGGUACUUUGCAGAACAGAUACAAAGAGGGUGCUACCCCACUAGAUAAAUGUUCAGAAAACACCAAUAAUUUAUAGAUGGGAAAUUGAUUUUAUCAAUGAAAAUGGCAAAACUCAUGUUGACUUCAGUGAGAGCACAAGGGGGCAUGGAAUAGUAAGUGAAUAUCUACAGGACUGGAAGUAUACAAGUCAUCUCAGGAAAACCACAUCACGCCAAGUAAUAGUGCUAAAUUAUCAAAUACAAUUUUGUUCUGAACUAGAGCUAGUUACCUCUUCAUAAUCUUGUGUUCUGAACUGCUGGGAGAUCAUAUAAGGUACUUCUUCGGGAUCAAUGGCUUUUUUCACGAUGUGAUCCAAAAGAGGAAGAGUUAGUUGGCAAGAUAAUUCAUUGCAGUGUAUCAACAGCCCAAAAGCAUCCAUAAGGUUAGCUGAUACUGAUCUCAAGUCCUAAACAGAAUAAAACCCAAAGCAAUAUGACUGAGAAGCUCAACUGCUUAUUUUUCAAUCAACAUAAAAAAAUCAAUAUACUUCUGAGUAUACUGUAGAGAACAUGGCAGGCUCUUCCCCUCCGUGAUAGGUGUGCAAAUGCAAAGGUAUUUUGAGUGAAAUUACUAUGGGCGGGGGGAAUAGGGUAGUCCAAUGUCACACAUGGAUACCCUCUACAAUCCUGUUUAUUCAAAGGCUGUAGGAGCAGCAUAAACCCUUGUAUAAAUAAAGGCUUCAUGUUUAGAAAAGCUGACCUAUUUUAGAGGAUACGGGCUUUAAAGUGACUUCACUGUGGCUUCUGCAGAGAUGUCACCUAUUUAUGUUUGUUUCCAUUGUUUUACAUGUAGUAUUGUUUACAUCUCCAGACUCGUUACAUAACUUUGCCAUAACAAAGUAUAUGUUUUACCAGCUUGCCAAUUAGAGUGUUAUCCUUUUGUACAUAUUUUUUGGAAGACGAAUCCUCAUCUACAAAAGUCCAGAAACUGGUCUGAAUUGGAAGAAUAACUUGCUGGUCAACAUCUUCUCCAUACUUCUUUCCAGGAAUAAAUACUGUAGUGGUUCUGCUCUCCAGCACUAUCAGAAAAUGGACAGGUUUCCUCAGAACAAAGGAAUCUUGCUCCUUGUGUGUAUUUCGUUACAGUUCCCAUUGCAAUCACUAUUCCUUCCGACAUAUAAAAUCUCUGAGACAUGUAAUCAAGUGGAAACUCACAAAGGCUGAGAACAUAACUUGGCAGAGGAGGCAAGUGUGUUGGUUUCAACACUAUAUUAAUCUCAUGAAAAGAAAAAGGGUUGCGUUAAAACAAAAAUCUUUUUUAUUUGAAAUGUUUAUUAUAAAUGACAAAUACUCAUGUACAAAACCCAAUGUGGUGCACAGUUACAAAAACAUAUUCCAGGGAUGUGCCAAAUAAGGUGAAAAUUGCUCAUAGUCACAUAUAUCCACCUUGUCAUACUCAGAGUAUGCAUGGGUAAGAAGUUCCAACUAUUUUUUGUUUAGAUUGAUAGGACUGUUGAAUGAAAGUGAAAAUUAAAACUGAAAAAUUAACACUGAAAAGAUCUCUAAAUACAACUUAAUAUUGCUUGAAAAUUAUUUUAUUUUUAUCUAAACUGGUAAAAAGUUUAAACUCACUUGGGCCUCUGUCUGUAAUUGUUCAAUUAAUGACAGUGUUUUAAUAGCUAUGAAACAGACCUGUAAUUCAAAAA